rnacentral:rRNA from 1 species
UACGUAGGUGGCAAGCGUUGUCCGGAAUUAUUGGGCGUAAAGCGUGCGCAGGCGGUUUCUUAAGUCAGAUGUGAAAGCCCCGGGCUUAACCUGGGAACUGCGUUUGAAACUGGGAGACUUGAGUGUGGCAGAGGGGGGUGGAAUUCCACGUGUAGCAGUGAAAUGCGUAGAUAUGUGGAGGAACACCGAUGGCGAAGGCAGCCCCCUGGGUUAACACUGACGCUCAUGCACGAAAGCGUGGGGAGCAAACAGG